GUUUGUGCAUCACAACUCAAUAUCUACUGUCCACUACUCCCAAAAGAUUUCUGCAAUAUGCUACACUUCAAAGAUCCUUCUCCAUUAUGAUUCUCCACUCCAUGAACUGUUUUUAUGAAGCAGCACAAAACCAAUAAAAAGGUAAAUUAAAUUCAUAUAUCUGCAAAACUUGAAUUGACAACUUUCUUAAAGCAGUCUUUCACCUGUUGAUACAUUUUCAGGUUUGUGCGUCAAAACCCAAAAUGUACUGUCCACUAUCAAAAGGUGAGUGUGCAACUAACAUAGACAUCUGUACAAUGUUUUAGUUGUGCAAACACUUCACUAUCAAUCAGUGUUCCAUGAAUGUAUUUUUAGAUUUCUGCAAUAUGCUACACUUCAAAGAUCCUUCUCCAUUAUAUGAUUGUCCGCUCCAUGAACCGUUUUAUGAAGCUGCACAAAAACAAUUAAAAAGUUUUGUGCAGAACAAGUCAAUAACUACUGUCCACUACUCCCAAAAGAUUUUUGCAAGUCGCCACACUUCAAACUUCCUUAUCCAUUAUGAUCCUUCGCUCUAUGAACCAUUUUUAUGA
rnacentral:lncRNA from 1 species